UGAGGAAUAUUGGUCAAUGGGGGCAACCCUGAACCAGCCAAGUCGCGUGAAGGAUGAAGGUCUUAUGGAUUGUAAACUUCUUUUACACGGGAAUAAAGUGGGGGACGUGUCCCCCUUUGCAUGUACCGUGUGAAUAAGGAUCGGCUAACUCCGUGCCAGCAGCCGCGGUAAUACGGAGGAUCCGAGCGUUAUCCGGAUUUAUUGGGUUUAAAGGGUGCGCAGGCGGGAUGUUAAGUCGGCGGUGAAAUUUUGCAGCUCAACUGUAAAAGUGCCUUCGAUACUGGCCUCCUUGAGUGUGGAUGAAGUAGGCGGAGUUUGUGGUGUAGCGGUGAAAUGCUUAGAUAUCACGAGGAACUCCCAUUGCGCAGGCAGCUUACUAAGCCACAACUGACGCUCAUGCACGAAGGCGUGGGGAUCAAACA
rnacentral:rRNA from 1 species